rnacentral:rRNA from 1 species
GACGAACGCUGGCGGCGUGCUUAACACAUGCAAGUCGAACGGUGAAGCUCCAGCUUGCUGGAGUGGAUCAGUGGCGAACGGGUGAGUAACACGUGAGCAACCUGCCCCUGACUCUGGAAUAAGCGCUGGAAACGGCGUCUAAUACUGGAUACGAGAAGGGUCCGCAUGGGCACUUUCUGGAAAGUUUUUCGGUUGGGGAUGGGCUCGCGGCCUAUCAGCUUGUUGGUGAGGUAAUGGCUCACCAAGGCGACGACGGGUAGCCGGCCUGAGAGGGCGACCGGCCACACUGGGCCUGAGACACGGCCCAGACUCCUACGGGAGGCAGCAGUGGGGAAUAUUGCACAAUGGGCGAAAGCCUGAUGCAGCGACGCCGCGUGAGGGAUGACGGCCUUCGGGUUGUAAACCUCUUUCAGCAGGGAAGAAGCGAAAGUGACGGUACCUGCAGAAGAAGCACCGGCUAACUACGUG